rnacentral:misc_RNA from 1 species
UCAGCGGGUAUUCCCAUCUGAUUCGAGGUCGGAUGUUGCUUUUGUUGUCACAACAUGGCUUUGGUUAUUUAUUUUACGUGUCGCGCUCGCGUACCAUCUGAAGUGUACUAAUAUUUCACAUCGUCAGAUUUUUCCGGUACAGGAAGACCUUCGACACCCCCACUAUUCAAAGAGUGUGAACCGAACGGUCGAAUCGAUUGAAUCGACUGGCCGCCACGGCUGUAACACAUCUCUCAAAACCAGGAAGAUCCUGAUUACCUUUCUUCGACACUCGAACAGAUGUACCCCCGGCGAGCCGGAGGGUGCAAUGUGCGUUCAAAAAUUCGAUGAUCCACAAAAUCUGCAAUUCACAUUACGUAUCGCAUUUCGCUGCGUUCUUCAUCGACGGGAGAACCA